rnacentral:rRNA from 1 species
CAACAGGGAUUGCCCCAGUAACGGCGAGUGAAGCGGCAACAGCUCAAAUUUGAAAUCUGGCUCUCGGGCCCGAGUUGUAAUUUGUAGAGGAUGCUUUUGGUGAGGUGCCUUCCGAGUUCCCUGGAACGGGACGCCAUAGAGGGUGAGAGCCCCGUCUGGUUGGACGCCGAACCUCUGUAAAGCUCCUUCGACGAGUCGAGUAGUUUGGGAAUGCUGCUCUAAAUGGGAGGUAUAUGUCUUCUAAAGCUAAAUACCGGCCAGAGACCGAUAGCGCACAAGUAGAGUGAUCGAAAGAUGAAAAGAACUUUGAAAAGAGAGUUAAACAGUACGUGAAAUUGUUGAAAGGGAAGCGCUUGUGACCAGACUUGGGCUUGGUUGAUCAUCCGGGGUUCUCCCCGGUGCACUCUUCCGGCCCAGGCCAGCAUCAGUUCGCCCUGGGGGACAAAGGCAUCGGGAACGUGGCUCUCUCCGGGGAGUGUUAUAGCCCGUUGCGUAAUACCCUGUGGCGGACUGAGGUUCGCGCAUUCGCAAGGAU